GACGAACGCUGGCGGCGUGCUUAACACAUGCAAGUCGAACGGUGAAGGGACCGGUUUUUGCUGGUUCUGGAUGAGUGGCGAACGGGUGAGUAACACGUGAGUAACCUGCCCCCUUCUUCUGGAUAACCGCAUGAAAGUGUGGCUAAUACGGGAUAUUCUGCGCCUGCUGCAUGGUGGGUGUGGGCAAGAUAUUGUUUCGGUGGGGGAUGGGCUCGCGGCCUAUCAGCUUGUUGGUGGGGUGAUGGCCUACCAAGGCGGUGACGGGUAGCCGGCCUGAGAGGGUGGACGGUCACACUGGGACUGAGACACGGCCCAGACUCCUACGGGAGGCAGCAGUGGGGAAUAUUGCACAAUGGGCGCAAGCCUGAUGCAGCGACGCCGCGUGAGGGGUGGAGGCCUUCGGGUUGUAAACCUCUUUCGCCAGUGAAGCAGGCCUGUCCCUUUUGUGGGUGGGUUGACGGUAGCUGGAUAAGAAGCGCCGGCUAACUACGUG
rnacentral:rRNA from 1 species